rnacentral:rRNA from 1 species
AAUAGAUACCCUGGUAGUCCACGCCGUAAACGAUGAGUGCUAAGUGUUAGAGGGUUUCCGCCCUUUAGUGCUGCAGCUAACGCAUUAAGCACUCCGCCUGGGGAGUACGACCGCAAGGUUGAAACUCAAAGGAAUUGACGGGGGCCCGCACAAGCGGUGGAGCAUGUGGUUUAAUUCGAAGCAACGCGAAGAACCUUACCAGGUCUUGACAUCCUCUGACCUCUCUAGAGAUAGGGCCUUCCCCUUCGGGGGACAGAGUGACAGGUGGUGCAUGGUUGUCGUCAGCUCGUGUCGUGAGAUGUUGGGUUAAGUCCCGCAACGAGCGCAACCCUUGACCUUAGUUGCCAGCAUUCAGUUGGGCACUCUAAGGUGACUGCCGGUGACAAACCGGAGGAAGGUGGGGAUGACGUCAAAUCAUCAUGCCCCUUAUGACCUGGGCUACACACGUGCUACAAUGGAUGGUACAAAGGGCUGCGAGACCGCGGGGUUAAGCCAAUCCCAUAAAACCAUUCUCAGUUCGGAUUGCAGGCUGCAACG